AUUGAACGCUAGCGGGAUGCCUUACACAUGCAAGUCGAACGGAGUGGCGAACGGGCGAGUAAUGUACCGGAACGUGCCCAGUAGCGGGGGAUAACUACGCGAAAGCGUAGCUAAUACCGCAUACUAUUGACGCGGCCGACACCGGCGUAGCUAGUUGGUGGGGUAACGGCUCUCCAAGGCGACGAGCCGUAGCUGGUUUGAGAGGACGACCAGCCACACUGGGACUGAGACACGGCCCAGACUCCUACGGGAGGCAGCAGUGGGGAAUUUUGGACAAUGGGGGAAACCCUGAUCCAGCCAUCCCGCGUGUGCGAUGAAGGCCUUCGGGUUGUAAAGCACUUUUGGCAGGAAAGCGGUACCUGCAGAAUAAGCACCGGCUAACUACGUGCCAGCAGCCGCGGUAAUUC
rnacentral:rRNA from 1 species